UCCUGGUAGUUGCACACACUCUCGGGAGUCCCGACCGAUGACUAAAGUGGAGAAUCUCCUGGUUGUGAAAGAAUGAACUGGAGUCUGAUCUUCCAAAUAGGAGACGUUCUUUAUGAUAUCCAAAAGAUAUACUACCCCCUACUCGCCACUAUUUCAAUUCCAAAGCACGCAGAAGAAUCCGGAGUGACAGCAGUGGAGGAAGCCCCAGAGACCCAGAGUUGCAGAACAGAAGAAAAUCCGUCAUUUUAUUGUUUGCUAUCUCUGGGAAUUUCAUCCUGUUAUGGGCAAUAUUUAUGUUAUAUUAUAUGUGGCUUCGUAUGUUAUAUUUGGGAUAUCGGUACAUAUAUCUACCGCCUUUUGUACGAGAGCUCGGAUUGAUGCUUCAGCUCCUGAGUUGUUGCACAAACACUUGUAUAUAUGCGGUGACCCAGAGUAAAUUCAGAAUACAGAUAAUGAAUGCAUUAAUAUAUCCUUUUGCUGUAAUGUUCAAAUUUAUUAAAUUUACACAAUGAAGGGAUUUUCUUGCCCGCAA